ACCUGCCUGUAAGACUGUAUUAACUCCGGGAAACCGAUCCUAAUACCGGAUAGAUCCUUGAACCGCAUGGUUCAAGGAUGAACUGCGGUUUCAACUGUCACUUAAUUAUGGACACUGGGCGCAUUAUCUAGUUGGUGAGGUAUUUGCUCAGCCCGGUGACGAUGCUGAGCCGACCUGAGAGGGUGAUCGGCCACGCUGUGACUGAUCCCCGCCUUCACUCCUAUUGGAGGGGCAGUCACCUUUCUUCGCCAAUGUAAAAGCUUCUGACUGAGAACCGCGGCUGGACUGAUUAAGGUUUUCAGACCGUAAUCCUCUGAUGUUAGGUAACAACAACUGUGAGAGUAACUGCUUGCACCAUGACGGUACCUAACCCUAAAGCCAGGGUUAACUACGUGCCACCAGCCCCGGUAAUACUCUUCUGGUUGCUUUGUCCGGAAUUAUUGG
rnacentral:rRNA from 1 species